rnacentral:rRNA from 1 species
GACGAACGCUGGCGGCGUGCCUAAUACAUGCAAGUCGAACGCAGUGGGGAUGGGUGAGUAACACGUGGGUAACCUCCCAUCAGAGGGGAGAACACUUGGAAACAGGUGCUAACACGAUACUGAUGGAUGAACCCGCGGGGCCAUAGCUUGUUGGUGAGGUAACGGCUCACCAAGGCCACUAUGCCUAGCCGACCUGAGAGGGUGAUCGGCCACACUGGGACUGAGACACGGCCCAGACUCCUACGGGAGGCAGCAGUAGGGAAUCUUCGGCAAUGGGCGAAAGUCUGACCGAGCAACGCCGCGUGAGUGAAGAAGGUUUUCGGAUCGUAAAACUCUGUUGUUAGAGAAGCGGUAUCUAACCAGAAAGCCACGGCUAACUACGUGCCAGCAGCCGCGGUAAUAC